AAGCUUUGGGCGAGAGUAGUACUAGGAUGGGUGACCUCCUGGGAG
rnacentral:rRNA from 1 species